UAUCCAACACCAUUUUGGUUUUGGAUGUAUCCAACACCAUUUUGGUUUUGGAUGUAUCCAACACCAUUUUGGUGUUGGAUGCGUCCAAAACCAUUUUGGUUUUGGAUGAAUCCAACACCAUUUUGGUUUUGGAUG